AGAAUCAACGCUGGCGGCGUGCCUAACACAUGCAAGUCGAACGCGAAAGCCCCCGAAAGGGGCAAGUAGAGUGGCAAACGGGUGAGUAACACGUGGGUGACCUGCCUUCGAGCGGGGGAUAACGUCCCGAAAGGGACGCUAAUACCGCAUAACAUCCUGCCUUUGAAGAGGUGGAGAUCAAAGCUGGGGAUCGCAAGACCCGGCACUUGAAGAGGGGGCCCGCGUCUGAUUAGCUAGGUUGGUGGGUAACGGCCUACCAGGCAACGAUCA
rnacentral:rRNA from 1 species